rnacentral:tRNA from 1 species
AUUCAAAUAGCUUAUAAUUAGAGCGUGACAUUGAAGAUGUCAAUGAGGUACAAGUUAUCUUUGAAUAA